rnacentral:rRNA from 1 species
AGAACGAACGCUGGCGGCGUGGAUAAGACAUGCAAGUCGGACGCUCAUUCAUCUGCAGCAAUGUGGAUGAGUGGGAGUGGCGCAAGGGUGCGUAACACGUGGGUAAUUUGCCGCGAAGUUGGGGAUAACUCGCUGAAAGGCGAGCUAAUACCGGAUGUGGUAAGCAAGUGGCAUCAUUGGCUUACUAAAGUUGGGGACCUGCAAAGGCCUGACGCUUCGCGAUAAGCCCGCGGCCUAUCAGCUAGUUGGCGAGGUAACGGCUCACCAAGGCUAAGACGGGUAGCUGGUCUGAGAGGACGACCAGCCACACUGGAACUGAGAGACGGUCCAGACGCCUACGGGUGCAGCAGUCGAGAAUUUUCACAAUGGGCGCAAGCCUGAUGGAGCGACGCCGCGUGGGAUGAAGGCUUCGGCUCGUAAACCCCUGUCAUUUGCCGAACAAACCCUCAACAUUGAACAGGUGUGAGCUGAUU